CCUGAAGCUUCAGCCGUUUUUACCAAGACCUGGAAAAAACCAACGACCCCUGCUCUGUUCAACCACCCUUCAGCCGCUUAUCAUCUGAACCCUUAUCCAAAGGAACCCUGCUUCUUUUCCACCCCUAGACGACCACACACACAGAGAUAGAGGAUGAUACAGUAAGAAACGAACGGAGAGGACAGCUGAAAAACCACCCCUGGUUCUUCAAAAACCAUCCGCCUCUCCCUCCGAUGUCUACCACCAGAACCGCCAGAAAAUCUGCUCCAAUUGUCCCCUCUUUCAUCUCUAGUGAAGCAGGAAACUGAGGUUCGCGAAAAAGCAGCCAAUACCCCCAUUAACACCGCACACAAACACCAUGAACACCAUAUAAAAUCGAUUUUCUACUGUCAAAUCCCUCUUUGUCGAUGAACUCAAUUUUUCCGGCGAAAAUUCCGGAGGCAUCAGUCAUCUAUUUCAGUCAUUGUUGAAGAUCCGAGGUUGAUUGAUUGGGGUGUUGUUUGAAGUUGUUUUGUUCAAGUUCCGUCCGUCUCCAAUUUCAGCGUUAGUAGUUGGUUUACGUUGCUUGUGUAAUUGCUGAAAAUUUCAGUUAAUUGAAGCUUUAAUUUCAGUUUUCUUAUACAGGUGUGGAUCUACUUACCGGAGUUUGAGCAUGACAGACACCCCCGGACCAUCUGGUCAGGACCGUUGCAUCCAGGAGUUGCUUAAGGAGAUUUUUUGUGUUUUGAGUCUGUUUCUUUUUAUGUUGUCUUGUACUUUAUAGUCAUGUCCAGUAGUAAUGAUUCUUUUAGUUGGUGGCGGAGUUUGUCAUAGUAUAGUUUAAUUGAGUCUCUCAUUAUCAUAUUUCCUGUUUUGUAUUUGAAAACCAAAAAAAGCUGUAAAUGAAUAAUCCAAAAAGUUUUUUUUA